GAAAUGCGAUAAGUAAUGUGAAUUGCAGAAUUCAGUGAAUCAUCGAAUCUUUGAACGCACAUUGCGCUCGCCAGUAUUCUGGCGAGCAUGCCUGUUCGAGCGUCAUUUCAACCAUCAAGCUCUGCUGGCGUUGGGGAUCCGCGGCUGCCCGCGGUCCCUCAAAAACAGUGGCGGGCUCGCUAGUCACACCGAGCGUAGUAACUCUACAUCGCUAUGGUCGUGCGGCGGGUUCUUGCCGUAAAACCCCCAAUUUCUAAGGUUGACCUCGGAUCAGGUAGGAAUACCCGCUGAACUUAAGC
rnacentral:misc_RNA from 1 species